UACGUAGGGUGCGAGCGUUAAUCGGAAUUACUGGACGUAAAGCGUGCGCAGGCGGCUUUGCAAGACAGAUGUGAAAUCCCCGGGCUCAACCUGGGAACUGCAUUUGUGACUGCAAGGCUAGAGUACGGCAGAGGGGGAUGGAAUUCCGCGUGUAGCAGUGAAAUGCGUAGAUAUGCGGAGGAACACCAAUGGCGAAGGCAAUCCCCUGGGCCUGUACUGACGCUCAUGCACGAAAGCGUGGGGAGCAAACAGG
rnacentral:rRNA from 1 species